GAUGUUUGCAUGUGCGCAGUUUGCUGCUAGUUGAAGGUCUACGUUUGGCUCUUCUGCCUCUAUACGUCUGCUGCUUAUACCGUCUGUAUAAUCGUUAUUCCAAUUGACAAAUUAGUGCAUAUUAGUGCAUUUAGUGACAUUGAUUGUUGCUGCCUUUGUCACAUGACGACGUAAAUUUCAUUCAAGAUUUAAUCUUAAUUAUUUACAAAGGUAACGACGAGAUAAUAAAAAGGGGAUAGAAACAUGACUAUCAUCACGAAAGCUAUCAGUGAGAAGAAGGCGUCGGACAAAAAGGAGCAGCCAUUGUUUGUAGAGGAAACUGCUGCGGAUUCUUCAAAAAGCGAUGUAGAAGCACAAACCCAAAAACCUGACGUUGGUAGACAUUACUUUGCUGCGCGCAGAAACAUCCAUAGAAUUCACGUGACUGCUACGUUUUUAUUGUUCUUAAUGGCAUUGAUGAUAUUAAUAAUUGGUGUAAUAGGGGGUCUUUAUAUAUACAUACAAUAUGCCAGAGCACAAAUACAUAGAUGCUGUACCGGAUGGUAUAGCAUUCCCUACGAUAAAACGCCAUACAGCAGCGAUAGUAUGCAUCAGGCUAUCAUCGCUGAUUCUAAUUUGUUCAAGAAUUUUGCUAGAGGCUCUGAACCGGAGGAAAUGGAUCUUCAAAAUAAUCUAGACAAUAAUAAGAGUUUCCUUAAAGAACAUUUUGAAAUAGAUCUUGAAAAUGAACAUUAUGAAAAGAUUGACGUGCCAGAUUUUCGUGGCGGUCGACAAGGACGUUUUAUACAUGAUUUUAGCAUUAACAAAACUGGAAUUAUAGAUAUCGAUGGUCAAUGCUGUUUCGUUAUGCCAUUGAACCGUCAACGAGUUUUGCCACCGCAUAAUCUUUAUGAUCUUCUUAGAAAAAUGUUUAAUGGUUAUUACGAAGUAGAUACAGAUAUUGUACGUGAAACUAUGAAAGUUGUUAUUCCACCUAUUACUGAUAUGUCUACUGUCGGAACAUAUAUUGCCCGUGAAUGCCAAGAUUUUCCAACGUAUAUGCUGAGAAAAGUAAAUCAUACUGUUGUUAAGAGGAGUGCAUCGAGCGGUAUUUUUGCACAAUUUGCCGGGAAAGAUAUCAUAGAAGUUGAUAUUUUGAAUUUGAACGAAUUCCAUAAGUAAAAUGAAGGAAUUUACAUUUUUUAGGCAAUUAAGAUUCAGUAGAUUGAUGUAAAAAAUAAGAAAAAUAACAGGUUACGUAAUACCCAGAAAACAUAGAUGUAAGUCUACUUUUCAACACCAUUAUGUCUUUCCACAACAUUUAUCUACUUGAUCCUGGAUAGCAGUUGUCAUCAUUUAUUAUAUAUAUAUAUAUUCGCAUUAAUAUCUAAUGCGAAUGAAUAAACAUUGUGCAAUAACUGGUUAAUCUUAGAUGUGCAAUAGAAUUUGAAGAAAAUUAAUAGGCUACAUUCUUUUUAUAAGCUUCUUUAUCUAAUAUAUAUUUAACGAUCAUAUUAUUCAUUGGAAUCGUUAAGAAUAAUAAAUAUUGCACGAUUAAGUGAAUUAUUGCAUUUUGUAAAAAGGAUGUGUCUAUUAUUAUUGUUAUUAUUAUUAUUAUUAUUAUUAUACAUUAUCGUAUUAUUACAUUUUCUUCUUAUUAAAAAAAGAUUCUAUAAACAAUGAUUACACGUAUAAUAUCUUUUCGUAUAUGAAAGAAAUAAAAACCGCUUGCUCUUACUUUAAAUAUUAUAGAUACAUAUCAAAUUUGACGAUUGGAUAGAAAGAAUAAUUUGGUCUUCAUUGGAAUUGCUACAACGUGAGGUCAAUAAAAUAACAGAGUUUAAUCGGUGAUUCAUUUCUUUGGAAAACCAAAAAAACACAUCGAAUUUACUGUUUUUUUUUUGUUUUUCUUUUAUUUAUAGGACUGUUUUCGAGCAAACUGAAUUUUUAUUAGAUCAAAUUUCAAUUGCUACAAUUUAUUCCACAUUUCUUCUAUCAUUAGCAAACAAACUAAUAUUAAAAAUGAAAAAAAAAAAUGUAGAAAAAUGAACGUAUUGCAUUCCGUGCAUUUAAUAUUCCGGUAUAUAUAGUAGAAAUACGUGUAUACCUUUGAUAUUUUAAGUUAUAUAUCUAAAACUGUUUGGCUAUACAUACGUAUAUAUACAUAUACAUAUAUAUAUAUAUAUAUAUAUAUAUA
rnacentral:misc_RNA from 1 species